rnacentral:ribozyme from 1 species
AGCAUAUCUACUCUGCAAUAGGAUGGGAUCCGAAGCCCCUCGAGGGAUAAUAGAGGCUCUCUCAUCCAACUCCUAUUCCGACAUGUCCUCGUCGUGCAGUGGUAAAGUGUGCCACCACAUAUCUUGGGUACACGGGCUAGAUCCAACCCCUUGGGCGGAUGGUGGCAUAUGGCGAACCAGGAGAGG